GGGCCCGCACAAGCAGCGGAGCGUGGGGUUUAAUUCUGACGCAACGCGAAGAACCUUACCAGGACUUGACAUGACCAGGAAAACGGCGGAAACGUCGUCCCCCCGCAAGGGGCCUGGCCACAGGUGUUGCAUGGCUGUCGUCAGCUCGUGUCGUGAGAUGUUGGGUUAAGUCCCGCAACGAGCGCAACCCCUACUGUGUGUUGUAUCACUCACACGGGACUGCCGAGAGAAACUCGGAGGAAGGUGGGGAUGACGUCAAGUCAGCAUGGCCCUUACGUCCUGGGCUACACCCACGCUACAAUGGCCGGUACAACGGGCGGCGAAACCGCGAGGUGGAGCAAAUCCCUUAAAGCCGGUCUCAGUUCGGAUUGUAGGCUGCAACUCGCCUACAUGAAGCCGGAGUUGCUAGUAACCGCAGGUCAGCAUUACUGCGGUGAAUAUGUUCCCGGGCCUUGUACACACCGCCCGUCACGUCAUGAAAGCUGGCAACACCCGAAGCCGGUGGGCCAACCGCAAGGAGGCAGCCGUCGAAGGUGGGGUCGGUGAUUGGGACG
rnacentral:rRNA from 1 species